rnacentral:rRNA from 1 species
AUUGAACGCUGGCGGCAGGCUUAACACAUGCAAGUCGAACGAGUGGCGGACGGGUGAGUAAUGCAUGGGAAAGUGCCGGAUAGAGGGGGAUAACUGCUGGAAACGGUAGCUAAUACCGCAUACUAUCGGAGGGGCCGAGAUGGGAUUAGCUAGUAGGUGGGGUAACGGCUCACCAAGGCGACGAUCCAUAGCUGGUCUGAGAGGAUGACCGGCCACACUGGAACUGAGACACGGCCCAGACUCCUACGGGAGGCAGCAGUGGGGAAUAUUGCACAAUGGGCGCAAGCCUGAUGCAGCCAUGCCGCGUGUAUGAAGAAGGUCUUCGGGUUGUAAAGCACUUUCAGCGGGGAGGCGUUACCCGCAGAAUAAGCACCGGCUAACUCCGUGCCAGCAGCCGCGGUAAUUC